AUGCCUGUACCAUAACCGACACAGGUGGGUAAGUAGAGUAUACUAAGGGGCGCGAGAUAACUCUCUCUAAGGAACUCGGCAAAAUAACUCCGUAACUUCGGGAGAAGGAGUGCCUUAUUCUUAAGGUUGCAAUAACAAGAUCCAAGCAACUGUUUAUCAAAAACACAGGUCUCCGCUAAGUCGUAAGACGAUGUAUGGGGGCUGACGCCUGCCCAGUGCCAGAAGGUUAAAGAAGUCGGUUAGCAAUAGCAAAGCUGGUAACUGAAGCCCUGGUGAACGGCGGCCGUAACUAUAACGGUCCUAAGGUAGCGAAAUUCCUUGUCGGGUAAGUUCCGACCCGCACGAAAGGCGUAAUGAUUUGGAUGCUGUCUCGGAGAGGGGCUCGGUGAAAUAGACUUGUCUGUGAAGAUGCGGACUACCUGCACCAGGACAGAAAGACCCUAUGAAGCUUUACUGUAACUUGAAAUUGAAAUUGGACUUUAUUCGCGCAGUAUAGGUGGGAGGCGUUGAUUAUAAUCUUGUGGGAUUAUUGGAGCCAUCAGUGAGAUACCACUCUUGUAAUGUUAGAUUUCUAACUUUGAAUCAUUAUCUGGUCAAAGGACAGUUUCAGGCGGGCAGUUUGACUGGGGCGGUCGCCUCCUAAACGGUAACGGAGGCGUACAAAGGUUUCCUCUGAACGGUUAGAAAUCGUAUCUAGAGUGUAAAGGCAUAAGGAAGCUUGACUGUGAGACCUAAAGUCGAGCAGGGACGAAAGUCGGUCUUAGUGAUCUGACGGUACUGAGUGGAAAGGCCGUCACUCAACGGAUAAAAGUUACUCUAGGAUAACAGGCUGAUCUCCCCCAAGAGUUCACAUCGACGGGGAGGUUUGGCACCUCGAUGUCGGCUCAUCGCAUCCUGGGGCGGUAGUACGUCCCAAGGGUUGGGCUGUUCGCCCAUGAAAGCGGUACGCGAGCUGGGUUCAGAACGUCGUGAGACAGUUCGGUCCAUAUCCGGUGUAGGCGCUAGAAUAUUGAGAGGAGCCUUCUUUAGUACGAGAGGACCGAGAAGGACAUACCUCUGGUGUACCAGUUAUCGUGCCAACGGUAAACGCUGGGUAGCUAUGUAUGGAGUGGAUAACCGCUGAAAGCAUCUAAGUGGGAACCCCACCUCAAGAUAAGUAUUCUCAUCACGUAAGUGAGUAAGGUCACGGUAAGACUAACCGUUUGAUAGGCAUUAAGUGUAAGUACAGUAAUAUAUGUGCUGAGAUGUCCUAAUAGACCGAGGAC
rnacentral:rRNA from 1 species